CCUACGGGGCGCAGCAGUGAGGAAUAUUGGUCACUGGCCGGAAGGCUGAACCAGCCAUGCCGCGUGAAGGUCAGUGCCCUAUGGGCGUUAAACUUCUUUUGUGCGGGAGCAAUAAUGGGCACGUGUGGCCAGACGAGAGUACCGUACGAAUAAGCAUCGGCUAACUACGUGCCAGCAGCCGCGGUAAUACGGGGGAGGCAAGCGUUAUCCGGAUUUAUUGGGUUUAAAGGGUGCGUAGGCUGUGAGGUAAGUCAGCGGUGAAAUGCCCCCGCUCAACGGGGUGAAGUGCCAUUGAUACUGCCGUGCUGGAAUGCGGAUGCCGUGGGAGGAAUGUGUGGUGUAGCGGUGAAAUGCAUAGAUAUCACACAGAACACCGAUUGCGAAGGCAUCUCACGAAUCCGCGAUUGACGCUGAUGCACGAAAGCGUGGGUAUCAAACAGGAUUAGAUACCCCAGUAGUC
rnacentral:rRNA from 1 species